UGUUAAACAGGCGGACGAUUGUGCAGAGGCGCAGUUUUAAUUGCUGCCAUGUGCUAAAUUUGAGUGAGUCGAAUUCGUCGGCAAUGCAAAGAGGGAUUAUGUAUGGUGCUGAUUACAUUUAAACAAGGUCGUAUUUAUACGGGAUCAAACGGAUGGAAUAUGCUGGCGCGAGUGAAGUUUAUAUCUGAAAUGCAGCGGGAAAAGAAUUUAUUCUACUAUAAUCAAAGCUUACGUCAGGCUCUUUGACAUUGGGAUAGAUUUUAAUGGAAGUUUCACAGAGAUCGUUGAAAGUGUUAAGCGAAAAUAUUAUUACACAAAAACGACAACUUUAUAUGCACAAAGCUGAACUAUAUAUGGCUACGAUCGGGAGCAUGCUCUGUCGUUUGGUCUACAUUAUUAUAUUAUAUCAAUUAUGUUAUAAUAUAUAGCACCAAAGAUGAGCGCCAAGACACACAGCACGCCAAGAAGUCCAUAGCCCACAUACGACAACCAGGCGAGCAGCUGAGAUUUAUUGUCCGCGCCAAUGGAAUAGUCCCUUGCAACGCACUUGAACGAUGAGGCUGCCCCGCCGCAGAAUAACUGACAGGUGUCGGGCAGCACACGGCACUUGGUCCAAUCGAAGCAGGGCUUUGUGUGAUCGUCCGAACAGAAAGUUAGGCAGUUCGUUGGCCUUAGCAAAGGCCAGGAAGUAUCAUUGCGGAACCAGCACUGGCAGAGGUUUGUGCAGUUGGCCAUUUCCAGUGGAAAGGCCUUAUCAGCGGCCUGGCCUGUGCGCGUUAUCAGGGCGAGUGUUGCCCAGAGCCCAAUCAUGUUAAAGAUGUGAAUUGUUUUAUGUUCUUUGACCGUCGUCCAGCGCGUUCCAUACUCAACUGAAUGCGCAACCAUUCAACUUCUUUCAGAAACUUCUGAUAUACCAGCGGGAGACUGAGUAAUAUUUAUACUAUAUAUUUAGUCGGCAUGUGGGUCAACGUCAUAUCAUUCCUUAUGUUGCCUUUAUGUGUACUCGAUAGCAUAGUUAAAUAAUCAAGAAUUGCUCUCCAUUCAUGUUUAAGAAAUUGUAAUUGAUAUGUUUAUUAUUUAUUUUAACUAAUAUGCUUCACCUUUAAAUCUAUCUUGUUUAUUUUUUAAAUCGUUGAAUGAGACGCACGAAAUAAUACUUUUAUAU
rnacentral:sRNA from 1 species